GGGACCUUUACUUGGCAUGUCACAGCUACCAUUUGCUGAGAAGGGGACACACUUUGUGUCAUCUGAGAGAUAGGGGAGCACAGAUGAUGGUGUCACCAAGAAGAUGGGGUGCUAAUCUCACACAGCUCCCCCAAGGAUCAGCUCUGUGAACCAGGCCAAGUUAAAGUUAUAUCCCUGGCCUCAGUUUCCCCAUCUGUAAAGUAGAGCUAAAAGAGGCAUGAACCAGGUGCAGUGGCUCAUACCUGUAAUCCCAGCACUUUGGGAGGCUGAGGCAGGAGGAUCACUCGAGCCCAGGAGUUCAAGACCAGCCUGGGCAAAACAGUGAGACCCCAUCUCUGCAAAGAUUUUUUUUUAAUAAAUAAUAUUUUUUAAAAGGGGACAUCUAGGUAGAACUGCAGCAAGGGUUAAAUUUAAAAUUUUUAUAAAGCAUCCUAACUAGUACCUGGUACCUAAAAAGGACUUGGUCAAGAUUGGCCAUCAUUAUAAUACACAAACCUGGUAGAGUGAGCACUAUUGUCAUCCCCACUUUAAAGUCAAAGGAACUGAGCCCAAGAAUGGUCCAGAGACUCAUCCCAGGUCUUGUCACUGCACUCCACCAUUUC
rnacentral:lncRNA from 10 species